rnacentral:lncRNA from 1 species
GGAAGAGGAAGAAAUACUUAUGGGAAAGAAGCUCAAAUGACUCACACAAGGCUUCUGCAAAACCUUAGCGGCUCGUGUUUGCAUGCUGAAACCUUCACUUUAGUCUCAGGAGGUCCACAUAAUCUGUCCCAGUAGUCUUCUCAACUGAGUGAGGAGAUGGGAGCCAAGCUCGGUACUUGCAGCAGACAUGAGCACCUGUACUUGAGAAUGAAGUCUGUGAGAUAAAUUAGUACUUCAGUUACCCUGGAGGGAUCACUGCCAGGAUCCUUUGUGCUGGCUUUGUUUCUGUGGGAGACCAGGACUCCUGGCAGGGGAAGAAAUAUUAGAGGACAAAACCUAUCAAUGCCCCAGAAAUUCCCGAGGAAAUGAGCUUGACAUCCUUCCACAUUGGGAAGGAAUCAUGCAGUCACAAAUGCCACCAGAGUUGUGGCCCUCUGAGUCAAGCAAACCUGAUUUGUACUUCUUCAGGGUAAAAACUCUUCGCUUUCCCAGUCCCCAUCCUGCUGUCCAUCCACUUGAGAACGGGGGGAAGAGAAGCAGUCAUUGAAGA